rnacentral:lncRNA from 1 species
CCAAAAUAACUAAAUGUAUAAUCUCGAUGAUUGAAGUUAUUGGUGCGCUAAAGAGAGAUAGCUACAAAUUGCAAUAUUACCACUUCGUAAUAUUUUAAAUGUGACCCCUAUGAUAAUUGUCAAUCAAUCUUUUCCAUUAUGACUACGACAUUUUGAAAAAAAUACACCAGUAACUUAAAAAUUCGUUGUACUUGAAAACACAAUCAUAAAGCUACCCCUGCAAUCAUUCCCAAAUGGCGACAUCCGAGUUAUUGCAACCUGUGUAUCUUCAUCAUGGCAGAGUUGUUCUUCUACAAAUGGAACCAAAAAUUAAUAGACACACAAAAAGGGGAAAAAAAUCUAAUAUAUAAAAGCUAUAUACUCCAAAUAAGUACAUACUCCAAAUAAGUGUCGAGAACCUCGUGCGGUGGGUAGAUGGUGUAUUCUUUCGUGAGCAUCCAUUGGCAUCGGCAUCGAUAGGGGGAGGUUUAUAGUGGUAUAACCUCCAACUUCUAGCUUGAAGUCCUCUGUCCAUGAUUUGUUUCACCCGCCCACCAAAGUGAGCCCAACUACCACCCUAUUUUAUGGAUCAAUUAGUUCUAUUUAGGCUAUACCUAGUUAUUGGGGCAAUAAAAUAGAAAAUGCUAUGAUUUAUUUGAAAACAAAUACCUACAAAUAAAAUAUAUAUAAAUGAAAAAUACGACUUACAAAAUUGACAACACAUUGACUUGAAAAUUAACCUAAAUCACGUAUAAUAGUAUUACCUGUCAAAGUGGUUGGAAAAUGUUGAUAGAAAUUUCUAUGGUUGAUCCAGAUUUCAUUUAUCAGCUCAUUUAUGAGCCUCCUUCCUAGUGAAUCUAUCAAAGGGUUUCAGGAGGAACAUAUAACACUAGUAGUUGGUUUUGAAGAAUUUGCAAAACCCAUCGAAAAAGUCGGGAUUCAAAGGGUUUGUUAGGUUUUCAUGGGAAGGGUUAGGAUAAUUUAUAUCUAGGUAAUGAGCAAUUUGAAAAAUAUCAUCCAUAUCAACGUCCAAAAUCAUCGUUGGGAGGGUUAGGAUGCUGAAACAAGUGCUAUUUGAUUUUUCCAGUAAUCCAAUGGGAACUUAUCAUUGAACACAAAUGCUAUUUGAUUUUGCACCUUGAUGUAAAUCCAUCUAGUGCUCCACAAAGUGUCAUCACCAGAGAAACUCCAAUUAACGUGGAAAACUCGAUACUUAAUCAAUUCCUAAUGAAUAAUACCUAGACAUUUAUCUCAUUGCAAGAUAUCACAUCUACCUGAUACUUCAUACUCCUACCAACGAAUGUCAAAGUUCCCAAGAAAGUAGAAUAAUGCCCAAAAAUACUAUCAGACUCAAAUCGUCAGCUGUCGGAGUGAGAUAUGAGGCACUUUAUAGUUAAGUGCAAUAAUUAAGUUAGACGGGGUAUGAACUAAUUUGUUCAAUUCUUCAAAUAAAAUGCUCCCUGCCUAAUCCACAUUGCUUUCAAGCUUUAGGAGAAAUAUUUAAUUGAGUAACAGCUUAAUGCAAUCAAAACUACAUACCAAAUGCCUUCAGCCACCUCGUAUUUAUAAUAUGCUUUUCGGUCAUUGCCACUGUCAUAUAAUUAUUGGUUUGAAUGCGCUUCAGAUAGUGUGCCUUACAGAGGAACUCUAGUUUCUUUUGCUUGGUUUCGACAGUUCUCAGAGAUCCAUGGAGCUCGUACGUCAGAGCAAUAGUAAGCAUAUCUCAUCGCAAUUGCUUAUCAUGUAGCAAACUGCUUACAAGGUCCCAGGGUCGAAAGCUCUUUUGUCUUCGGUAAAGAACGCUUGGGACUUGAUGCUGAUGUCCAGGGUGAACACCCAGGACGAUGACUUUUUGCCUUUUUCUAAUGCAGAGUAAUUAAACCUUUGCAUAAGAUCAGGUUAAUGAGGCCCGUUAUCUACUUGGUGUUGGUUACAGUUAUUACGAGCCAACAAGAAGGGCAUUUCAAAGGUUUUAAUCCAUUAGAAAUAAGCUUUGUCACCACUUUAUUCACUUAAAUUAAACCAAGGUAGAAAAGGAAAAUAUGAAUACAGAAGGGGUUAAUGCAAUAAUAAAUACCAGAAGCACCAGUAAAAUUCAAGUCUCCUACAGCUAGUAUCAUCUGAUGCAGGCCACCAGAUAUUAAUUAGAACAGCUUAGAGCUGGACUCCAACUGCCCCACUGAGUGGCAUGAAUAAUUCAAAGCUAACAGAAAGUUGAUCAGUUAUCAUUAGGCUACUGAAGAAUCCAACAUUACCUGAAAACAUACACACCUUGGUGAAGCAGUACUCAUAAGGCAAAAAAAAAAAAUGAUGUAAGCAUAAGUAGAUAGCCACCAAUUUCUUCACAAGCAAGCCAAGACUGAUUUUCUUCUAUGUUGAGAAUGCAGUCACAAGAUGAAUUAACUACUGGGUAAUUCCCAAUGUCACUCUAUUUGGUCACCAUUUUUUAGGUCCCACCCUUGCCUUCAUGUGCCCAGUGAAGUUAAGGAAUGAGGAGUUAAUGCCUGCCAUCCUUCUAUUUUUGCGAAUUGGGCGGAUUCACCACAAAAAUCUUUCAGACCUUGUUAGAAGAAACAUGUAUUCCUAAACUGACAAAUCCAUUUUUAAGCAGAGUUCUCCACCUUUAUUGACUUUCUUGAAAUCUAACUAGCGAUAAGAGCAGUGGUAUUUCAUAAUCUAGAUAGAGAGAAUCUUUGCUUCAGUUUAAGCCACUUGAUGGUCAUCACUAGGUUGGAGAAGAUUGGUAAGGAAAUGCCAUCACAACAUAAUAUCAUGUAAAGAUUUCACUGUGUCCAUUUGCUGUCCAACAAAUAAAUGCUUUGCAAGCUUCAGUGCGUCUAGUGGAAAAAUUGUCAUGACAACUCCUCAUUAGGAAUUAACUGGGCUGGGGGUUGUGCUCCAAAAGCAAAUACCACAGAGAUGAGGAUCUGAACUUCUAAUAACACUGGAAUAUGUACUCAAAAUGGAACUAUUGAAAUCAACUGCAGAAUGAAAGCCAGCUAAAUAAAAUAAAAAAAAACUAUACGAAACGCUCUAAUUACACUCUAAAUUGUGUCAAGGAAGAUUAUUGGCAAAAAAAUAAAAUGAGUUUUGCUGUCUUUCUCUGCUGUCACCAGCAAUAAGGCAACAAUCUGAGCUGAUUAAUCAUAUAGAUAUCUGCAAUAGGUUCUUCAAAUCUAGCCACAGGAACAUCCUAUAUAACAUUCAAAAUAUAAUGUAUUCAAACCAGAAAUCAACAAAAUAGAACUGUGGCCACGGGGAAUACUGAAUUGAUCCAUAUACAUAACAAGCCAAGAAAAAAUUUCAACUCACAAAUAUCACCAGAAUGAAGCAAUCUCCAUUACUGAGCUUCAGAAGCAUAUUGUUUAAGCCAACUUAACUUGAUUCUAUAUCUUGAAGAAAGGAGAAAUGAAGAGCAAUUGCAGAGUUUGAUCUUGCAGCCUCCCAACACCAUAAUCACAGAUCUGACUGUUCCUAAAACGCACUCAUCGAUCAAUAAUUGACCUUAUCAUGAUAUUCUACGAGCAUAACAAGUCAAUAUAAUAAAUCUUUAAUGUCCAGAUUGAAGGAUAGCAAUAAAAUAAAAUUCAGGGAGGGAAGAAGUCUGAUUUAGUGAGAAAAUAAUAUUCAAAGAGGGAGACAGAGAGAGAUAAAAUUGAUGGCAAAAAUUAGUUGCACAUAAAGACAAUGAACUUCACACCCGCAACAAAAACCCAAAAUAAAUAAUGUGCAAUAGAUAUAAAAAAAUGGUAAAUAUAUAACACGACGGCUCCAAAAUAAAUAAUGUGCAAUACUAAUAAAUAUACUAAACUGCCACAUGAUGAUCCAUCCAAGUUAUCUUGAAUUUACAUCUUGAUCUUUAAAAGGAAGAGAAAAAGUUGAUCAUAGUGUAAAAAAUUACUGGAAAGAGAAGGAUAUAAAUAGAUGGGCAGCAUCAUGACUCGUUUAGAAAGGCAAAGAGAACAAACCCAUUCAGAAAGGCCAAAAAAUCCAUGAGACACAAAAAGUUAGACCUUAUUAGUCUUCAAAUCACGCAUUAUCCUCUAUCUGCACAUGGAUAAAUACCAAAGAACCUAAGGCAUUUUGUAUGAAAAGACCUAGGAAAGUCUACAUUUCAUUUAUGUAGAUUAAAG